CCUUCGGUUCGUAAAACUCUGUCCUCAAGGAAGAUAAUGACGGUACUUGAGGAGGAAGCCCCGGCUAACUACGUGCCAGCAGCCGCGGUAAUACGUAGGGGGCUAGCGUUAUCCUGAUUUACUGGGCGUAAAGGGUGCGUAGGCGGUCUUUCCAGUCAGGAGUGAAAGGCUACGGCUCAACCGUAGUAAGCUCUUGAAACUGGGAGACUUGAGUGCAGGAGAGGAGAGUGGAAUUCCUAGUGUAGCGGUGAAAUGCGUAGAUUUUAGGAGGAACACCAGUUGCGAAGGCGGCUCUCUGGACUGGAACUGACGCUGAGGCCCGAAAGGGUGGGGCGCAAAAAGGAUUAGAUACCCUGGUAGUCCACGCUGUAAACGAGGAGUACUAGGUGUUGGGGGUUACCCCCCGCUGGCUGCAUUCAC
rnacentral:rRNA from 1 species